UGAAAAGACUGUGUGUAACACCCCAAUCCCAGGACAAGGUACCAAGGGAAAGGAGUACUUUUGUCACAUAUGGUGGAGAAUGCGUGCAGCACACGGCAAAGUCUGUAAGUAGGGAGAAAGAGACUGCUGAGAAAAUGGAGGAUGUCAUGAAAGCUUUGCUCCAGUCCACUGCUGUACAGCAAGAGACAAACAGGAGGACUGCAGAGACUAAUGCAAUACAGCAAGAGAGCAUUUCAAUACUGCAGCAGCUUGUAC